CUCGCGUGCGUGUAAAAGGCAAGGAGCUCCACCUUUCCUGGAAAGGACAGGGGGAAGAGAGCCUCGGGGAACCGAGGACAGGCCAAGAACAAAUUAAUCCAGCUCUGAGAGGAAAUGCGAUGUACAGAUGGAGCGUUAGCGAGGAUUCCAGAGCCCUGGGAUCCAGUCACGGCUCUGCCAAUUCUAGCAGCGGGCAAGGGCCUCCAUUUCUUUAUCUGUGAAAUGGGAAUAACAAUGACUGCCUGAUUUCCCUCCCAGAAUUCUCACAACCCUUCAGGGAGAUAAUGCAUGCCAAACGUCAUGGAGAAGCCCCUCUGCCUGUGACCUGACCUUGACCCCCACACUCCCUUACUGUCAGCAUUUGAAGCGGGAACCCAGUGCUUUCCAAAGUGCUUUGGCAUUAAUAGUUCUGUGAUUUAUUGAGCACUUAGGAGUUACCCUCUCUGCCAAAGACUUCCGUGACAAGCAGAAAGCAACGUGCCAGCGCUUGACUCACGUUCUCGCUGACAACCCCGGGAGGCACACAUGUACUUCCCGCCUGCUCCAGGGGCCGGGACAUCCUUGCCGAGGCUGCGGCUUAUGACCUAUCAUCACCUUCAACAUCAGCCUGGAAACCUCCUGGCCGCCAGCUAGCGUGGAGGUUCUCUCCUCUUGAACCAGAGACGUGGUCUCUGCUGGGGACCCUUCCCACGGUCCAGAGGACUGCCCGCCUCUCCAGAGCCAACUAGCGGCAAGUCCAGAUCGGAACCCGGAUCUUUGAAUCCUGGCCCUUGGUUCUCUCUGCCCCUCCAUGUCACUACGCUUUACUCCCCAAAUUACCGCCUACGGGCCGCAGAUGGUCCUUUUGUAGGAAACAACCUCAGACUCGCUAAUCUAAGUCAAGCAGAAGUGAAGCUAAUCUGGUGAGAAGUGUUUUCUGUUUGGUUUGGUGUGGUCUUUCUGUUGGUGGUUUGGAAUCCUACUGGACUUCGGAUAUUGUUUUUCCUGUCCCCGAUACACUUUUAGACUCCAUGAUUUAACUGCGAUCAACAUUUACGUUAAGAGAGCUCUUAACCAGGGCACCUAGGUGGUUCAGUCGGUUAAGCCUCCAACUCUUGAUUUUGGCUCAGGUCAUGGUCUCAGGGUUGUGGGAUCCAGCCCGCAUCAGGCUCUGCACUCAGCAAGGAGUCAG
rnacentral:lncRNA from 1 species